ACCAGGAUGGCCGAGUGGUUAAGGCGUUGGACUUAAGUUCAAAUGUACGGAUGUACGCGUGGGUUCGAACCCCACUCCUGGUA
rfam:Nematostella vectensis strain CH2 x CH6 NEMVEscaffold_560_Cont30048, whole genome shotgun sequence.